GGGGCAGCGGGGUAGUGCUUGCACUACUGCCGGCGACCGGCGCACGGGUGAGUAACACGUAUGGAACCUGCCCGCAGCAGGGGGAUAAGCGGAAGAAAUUCCGUCUAAUACCGCGUAACAACGUUGGGAGGCAUCUCCCGAUGUUUAAAGAUUUAUCGGCUGCGGAUGGCCAUGCGGCGCAUUAGCUAGUCGGCGGGGUAACGGCCCACCGAGGCGACGAUGCGUAGGGGUUCUGAGAGGAAGGUCCCCCACACUGGUACUGAGACACGGACCAGACUCCUACGGGAGGCAGCAUUGAGGAAUAUUGGUCAAUGGCCGAUAGGCUGAACCAGCCAAGUCGCGUGAGGGAAGACGGCCCUACGGGUUGUAAACCUCUUUUGUCGGGGAGCAAAGCGAACCACGUGUGGUUCAUUGAGAGUACCCGAAGAAAAACCAUCGGCUAACUCCGUGCCAGCAGCCGCGGUAAUACCGAGGAUGCGAGCGUUACCCGGAUUUAUUGGGUUUAAAGGGUGCGCAGGCGGAGGUGCAAGUCAACAGUCAAAUUGCGGGGGCUCAACCCCCGUACUGGCGUUGAAACUGCAUCCCUUUGAGUGCGCGAGAAGUAUGCGGAAUGCGUGGUGUAGCGGUGAAAUGCAUAGAUAUCACGCAGAACUCCGAUUGCGAAGGCAGCAUACCGGCGCGCAACUGACGCUCAUGCACGAAAGCGUGGGUAUCGAACAGGAUUAGAUACCCUGGUAGUCCACGCAGUAAACGAUGAACACUAACUGUUCGGCCAGAAUGAUGGCUGAGUGGUACAGCGAAAGCGUUAAGUGUUCCACCUGGGGAGUACGCCGGCAACGGUGAAACUCAAAGGAAUUGACGGGGGCCCGCACAAGCGGAGGAACAUGUGGUUUAAUUCGAUGAUACGCGAGGAACCUUACCCGGGCUCAAACGACACAGGAAUACUUUUGAAAGGAGGUAGCCCUACGGGGUCUGUGUCGAGGUGCUGCAUGGUUGUCGUCAGCUCGUGCCGUGAGGUGUCGGCUUAAGUGCCAUAACGAGCGCAACCCCUAUCGCCAGUUACCAUCAAGUAAAGUUGGGGACUCUGGCGAGACUGCCGGCGCAAGCUGAGAGGAAGGCGGGGAUGACGUCAAAUCAGCACGGCCCUUACGUCCGGGGCGACACACGUGUUACAAUGGCAGGUACAGAGAGAAGCCAGGUGGCGACACCGCGCGGAACUCGAAAGCCUGUCUCAGUUCGGAUCGGAGUCUGCAACCCGACUCCGUGAAGC
rnacentral:rRNA from 1 species